AUGAUUCCCUAUGUGAAUAGCCUUGUUGAGGUAUAGUUUAGUCUCCCUUAGUAAAAAAUUUGACAUUGGGCAGUCAUAGUGUGUGGUCUUGGUUUGGAACUUGAGUUCCACUCUUUAUAUUCAUCAGAACUUCUUCUUGGGGUGUCUUUGACUUUCUAAUUUGAUAUCUACUUAUAGGCUUGAUCCUUUCAGUUCCAAUGCUACGAAAGUACACUGAAUGUUCUUAUUAUUAUCUUUAAACUGAAUAAUGUAAAUAAUGGUCAAUAUAUUUAUGUAAUUCAGUUUAAAGAUAAUAAUAAGAACAU
rnacentral:misc_RNA from 1 species